CUAUGAAAACUCUUUUCCAUCACUCACACUGCUAUGGUCACAGACUCUUAAACUUAGCCUCUCAAAUUUCAUAGAACUACUCCUCUCUAUCAAGAUCGAUAGAUCCUAUCUUGAUGCAUACUCCAUUCCUACAGGGGACCAACUGUCGCCAACAUCCACUACAAGGGCUUAUUGAGGCAUAUGUUUAUAUAUCAAUCAAACUCCAGCAGUCUCACUGCGAGUAACAGUACCAUCUCAAGUCAAA
rnacentral:lncRNA from 1 species